rnacentral:rRNA from 1 species
UGGGGAAUAUUGCGCAAUGGGCGAAAGCCUGACGCAGCAACGCCGUGUGAGGGAUGAAGGCUUUCGGGUCGUAAACCUCUGUCAGAAGGGAAGAACGGGUAUUGGUCUAAUAGGCCUUUAUUUUGACGGUACCUUCAGAGGAAGCACCGGCUAACUCCGUGCCAGCAGCCGCGGUAAUAAGGAGGGUGCAAGCGUUAUUCGGAAUUCCUGGGCGUAAAGCGCACGUAGGCCGCUGUGUAAGUCAGGGGUGAAAUCCAACGGCGCAACCGUGGAACUGCCCGUGAAACUGCUAAGCUUGAAGCCUGGAGAGGGUGGCGGAAUUCCUGGUGUAGGAGGGAAAUCCGUAGAGAUCAGGAGGAACACCGGUGGCGAAGGCGGCCACCUGGACAGGUAUUGACGCUGAGGUGCGAAAGUGUGGGGAGCAAACA